rnacentral:rRNA from 1 species
CAGUCGCCGCGGUAAGACAGAGGAUGCAAGCGUUAUCCGGAAUGAUUGGGCGUAAAGCGUCUGUAGGUGGCUUUUCAAGUCCGCCGUCAAAUCCCAGGGCUCAACCCUGGACAGGCGGUGGAAACUACCAAGCUGGAGUACGGUAGGGGCAGAUGGAAUUUCCAGUGGAGCGGUGAAAUGCGUUGAGAUCGAAAAGAACACCAACAGCGAAAGCACUCUGCUGGGACGACACUGACACUAAGAGACGAAAGCUAGGGGAGCAAAUGGGAUUAGAUACCCCUGUAGUCCCUGUCUCUUAUAC